rnacentral:rRNA from 1 species
UACAGAGGGUCUCAAGCGUUGUUCGGAUUCAUUGGGCGUAAAGGGUGCGUAGGUGGCAUGGUAAGUCGGGUGUGAAAUCUCACGGGCUCAACCCUGAAACUGCACUCGAUACUGCCGUGACUCGAGCACUGGAGAGGAGACGUGGAAUUUACGGUGUAGCAGUGAAAUGCGUACGAUAUCGUAAGGAAGACCGGUGGCGAAAGCUAGUCUCUGGACAGUCGCUGGACACUGAGGCACGAAGGCCAGGGGAGCAAACGGG